AGUUGCUUGUGUCGAGGGAGGGAGGGAGGGAACAGAGGGUGCGCGUGUGAAAGCUCCGCCCCCAGCCCUAGCUCCUCCUUCCCGCUUCAGCAGGUCCAGGCUCUGCGCCAGUGCAUCCUUCUCCAAGAGUGCGCUGCCUGGGCCCGCUUGCCCUGGAGUUAACUUCAGCAGUCAACGGAGAGAAGAGUGGAAACCUUACUGGAUGCGGACAGGAGAGCCAGUUACUGAAAGCAGAUAUAACGCGGAUCCUGUAAAGAGUGAAAGGAGAAGACCACUUUUAGUUGCCUCCCUGCUAGCACCCUGACUUGCUCUGCUUGAAUAAGAAUCCAAGGACACAAGCUAAGACAUUUGCACUGGGUUUAGAUCUACUGCGAUUCACAAAACACAAAAGAACUUUCAGUCAGAGGGUGACACAUAAUGAUUUUAGACAAAACUCAGUUUCUUCUGGUGGAAGCUAUUCAGAUUGUUUGGAGAGUGGGAGGAAAAAGGAGUGAAGCAUCGCUUAACAACAAAAGUAAUAAUGCAGGCAGAAUAUUAAAUGGAGAAGCCAGACUUUCAACACAUAGAAAAGAAAGCUAGUUCAGAAUGUUGAGAGACUUGGGAGCUGAUUGAUUGAAGGUGGCACUUAGAAGGUUGCCCUUUUUAAAGAUAAAGGCUGAUACUGUGACUCUGUCCCAGGGGACCUGAGUAAAGAACUCCUCAGAGAUGUGGGACCACUAUUCAGAACAAGAUUUGGAGAGCUGGGGCAGAGAAGAUUUUACCUUGGGGAUUUCUUCAGCUGCGAGUAGUAAAUUGGUUAUGCCUUAAUGAAUGAAGUUUGUCAAAUUUUAAGAUAGGAUGUUAUUACGCCUUUUAAAAGAAUGAGGUAGAGUAUAACAUCUGAUUUGGAGUUCUUUCCAGCAUUUUAAGGUCUUUAAAGAAAACAAAUUGGAGAAAAAUAAAUAAAUAUAGAUCAUGCUGUACAUAU
rnacentral:lncRNA from 10 species